UACGUAGGGUGCGAGCGUUGUCCGGAAUUAUUGGGCGUAAAGAGCUUGUAGGCGGUUUGUCGCGUCUGCCGUGAAAAUCCGGGGCUCAACCCCGGACUUGCGGUGGGUACGGGCAGACUAGAGUGUGGUAAGGGAGACUGGAAUUCCUGGUGUAGCGGUGAAAUGCGCAGAUAUCAGGAGGAACACCGAUGGCGAAGGCAGCUCGCUGGGACGUGACUGACGCUGAGACGCGAAAGCGUGGGGAGCAAACAGG
rnacentral:rRNA from 1 species